UCCGAGUUAACCCCGGCAGUCUCCCGCGAGUCCCCAACUCAAUGCUGGCAACACGGGAUAAGGGUUGCGCUCGUUGCGGGACUUAACCCAACAUCUCACGGCACGAGCUGACGACAACCAUGCACCACCUGUGUACGGCCCCUAAGGACACCACAUCUCUGUGGCUUUUCCGUACAUUUCAAGCCUAGGUAAGGUUCUUCGCGUUGCAUCGAAUUAAGCCACAUGCUCCGCCGCUUGUGCGGGCCCCCGUCAAUUCCUUUGAGUUUUAGCCUUGCGGCCGUACUCCCCAGGCGGGACACUUAAUGCGUUAGCUUCGGCACGGAAGGAGUCGACACCUCCCACACCUAGUGUCCAUCGUUUACGGCGUGGACUAC
rnacentral:misc_RNA from 1 species